AGCAUCUCAAGAUGAAAGGAAGCUGUGUCCUGACUGAUCCUGAGUGUGGGGGGGAGGGGCCAGACUCCCUCUGACAACCAUUUUGGAUUAUGAUAGUAUCAAGCAAGCACUAGAGAAUAGAUUCGUUUUUCUGUCAACUGGUGAAAACCAUAAACAGGGUGGAGUGAAUUGGUGUACAAAGUUUAGAAAUGAAAUGCAUAUGGAAUGAAAUCUGACAAAGCCUCUUGGUGUUUAA